CCUACGGGAGGCAGCAGUGAGGAAUAUUGGUCAAUGGACGGAAGUCUGAACCAGCCAUGCCGCGUGCAGGAAGACGGCUCUAUGAGUUGUAAACUGCUUUUGUACAAGGUUAAACCUGAAUACGUUUAUUCAUCUGAUAGUACUUUACGAAUAAGGAUCGGCUAACUCCGUGCCAGCAGCCGCGGUAAUACGGAGGAUCCAAGCGUUAUCCGGAUUUAUUGGGUUUAAAGGGUGCGUAGGCGGAUUGAUAAGUUAGGGGUGAAAUGUGCGAGCUUAACUGGGGAACUGCAUCUAAAACUGUUGAUCUAGAGAGUAGAUGCGGUAGGCGGAAUGUAUGGUGUAGCGGUGAAAUGCUUAGAGAUCAUACAGAACACCGAUUGCGAAGGCAGCUUACCAAUCUAUAUCUGGCGUUGAGGCACGAAAGCGUGGGGAGCAAACAGGAUUAGAUACCCGGGUAGUC
rnacentral:rRNA from 1 species